rnacentral:lncRNA from 1 species
AGGGGAUAAAGGGUUACAUGGUGAAGAGAGAAAGUUGGCACAGCUAAGCAGACCAAGUGGGCUUCCUGGAGGAAGGGGCAUUCGAUUGAGAUUUGAAAGCUUUUUUUUUUUUUUUUAAAUUAUUUGACUGCACCGGGUCUUAGUUGUGGCAUGAGAACUCUGAGUUGUGGCAUGUGGGAUCUAGUUCCCUGACCAGGGAUCAAACCCAGGCCUCCUAAAUUGGGAGCGAGGAGUAUUAGCCACUGGACUACCAGGGAGGUCCCAGAUUUUUUUUUUUAAAUCUUGAGUGUUGAAAGGGAAGCAAGGUCGAGUGAAGUCCCUGACAGAAGGGGCAGCUGAGGUGAAGCAGGUGAGACCUGGACUGUGUCGAUCAGACCUAGUUGGGAUCCCAUUGCUAAGGAUGGACCAUGUGGCUUUGUGGAGGUGCCUUCUCCUCCGAACAUAUUUCCUCACUGGAAGAGAAGAAAGACUGUGAAGAUACUGAAACAACACGUGUGAAACAGCCACCCAACCCUGUGGGUGCUGCUCCUGUCUGGCUUACUCCGGUCUGACUCUAGUGGUGGCCUGGCGGGCGCUCCAGGCAGGUGGUGACACUCCUGUGUCUCUGGUUUGAAGGGAAUCAUUAGACAUCAAAUGAACACUCCUUAGGAAGAGAUAAAUGUUGUCCUCUGUCAGAGCCGUGGCCCUGUCACCAGGGCAGGUGACCAGGACUGCACAACCAACAGCCCAGGCUCUGCGGUUCCAGCUCUGCGUCCCGGCUGCUCUCCAGCAGGAAAGGAGGCCAAGGCCUGUGCCCACUUCACACAGAGCACCUCAGGGCCUCGCCCUGGGGUUCCUGCCAAAGAGUCCUUCUUGCAUCACACCUGGAGGCCACCCCAGCCAGCAAGUCCAUCAGGAGGAAUAACACGUUCAGUCAACAGGCACCUGCUUACACAUUUUCUACUCAGAGAUAACUGCUCAGUCAGAGCUCUUCAGACCUCAAAGUGGCCCGGGGCCUGGGUCUGGUGGGGAGGUGCUGCUUUGGCAACACAGAAGCCUCUGCUGCCUCUGGGAGCUGAGCCCACACCUUUCCUUCAAUCUGCAGGUGGUUUCAGAGAACAGGAACGCCCCAGGGCUGGCCAUGGCCAGCUUCUUUCCCAGGACAGGAGCCCUCGGCAUCUCCCAGUCCACGCUCAGCAGCUCUGCCCCAUGCUGCCACCGACCAGGAGCACCCUCCUCAGGGAGGCCUUCCCGUGGUGGCCAGAGUCAUGCUCCCAGGGACUGAGCUGCAGCUGUUUUCCUGUGACCGUCAUGUGCCCCUUCCCCCUCUGUGGUCCCCCACUUUCCCCCGCACCUGUGCAGAGCUCUCAGAGUCACAGAUAGCGCCCUGGCUGACCUUGCCUGAACCCCCUCCUCCCUCUCCCGGCCUCUGAACUGCCCACGUGGGCCAGGGCAGGAGAGCCCCCAGCUCUCUGCGUCUCUGUCCCUGCUGCCUGAGAGUUCUCUGAGUCAUGAGGAGCCACCAGACUGCAGCCCUUGGUCCAGGAAGAGGAGAUGGUUGGACCCCCCGAGCACAUCAGCACCAGGUAUGGGCACCCCUCCCAGGUCUCCUUUUCCUCCUCCUGGGGUGGGGUGGGGGGGUCCUCUCCUCACUGCCCCAUGAGCCCUCAAGGAUAGAGACUGAGUUUCUCCUGCUCUGCCCCCUCUUGGAAUCUCCUGACUCCAUGGAAUUCACAUUUGUUGGGUGCUUGCUUGUGCCAGAAACCAUCCAGGUACCGUCACAUAGAUUCACUUCAUCCUUUCAAUGACACUGUCUGGUGAGUGUUAUUGGGUUUCCCCAGUGGCUCAGCUGGUAAAGAACCCGCCGGCCAAUGCAGGAGAUGCAAGACAUGUGGGUUCGAUUCCUAGGUCAGGAAGAUCCCCUGGAGAAGUAAAUGGCAACCCACUCCAGUAUUCUUGCCUGGAAAAUUGCAUGGGCAGAGGUGCCUGGCAGGCUAUAGUCUAGGGGGUUGCAGAGAGUCAGACACGACUGAGCAUGCAGACACAGGAUACAGGUGAGUGUUAUUAGCCCAUUUACAGAUGACAGAACUAAGAUAUGGAGAGCUGACAUCACUGAGAGAAGGCCACCACCUUAGUAAAUGCCAGCACUAGGAUUCAGACCAAGGUGGGCCAUCCCUGGGUUCAAGUUCUCUCCACAGGCCAAGCUGCAGUCCACAUAAGCUGCAGUUUCAGGGCCCUGUGAAGAAAGACCUGUCAGGGGCUGCAUGCCUGCGGAGCAACAGGAGGCCCCAGGGACCUCUCCCCCACCCCCCACCUUCACCCCAGCUGGUCCAUCAGGCCAGACAGUGGGGCUGAGGAUGUCAGGCAGUGCUGGCAGCCAAACAAGGGGUCACAGUCAGUCAGACACUUCCUCACUGCACAAAGCACCACUUCCCUCCAGACAGAGGACCCCAAAGAAUGCUUGGAAUGUCGUUGGGGCCAGACAGCCUCCUGCAGAUGCCGAGAGGCUGGCUUUGUGCUCAGUUUGCCAGGGCGACUGACCCCAAGUUAGAAAGGUCACUCCCUGACCUGUGACCCUGCCCUCUCACCUCACAGCGGGGGGAGGUGGUGGAGAGAGGGAGGGGUGAGUUGGGCCUCCCUCCAGUGGCUCUUCCACACCAGUGGGAUGGUGUCCCAAGUUUGCAGCUUCAGGAAAGAGACUCAAGAGGCCUCCUCCAAGAGGCCUUCUUGGCUGCUCUAAAGUUUAGCCCACAGUGUAGCCUGAGAUUUGAGGACCCCACGGCCCCCUUGCAUAGGCACAGGCAGAGCUGGGCCCGUGGCUGGGAAACAGUGGGCCUUCGCUAUGGUAAGUGGAGUUAGGAGGCUGGUGGUCAGCAGUGGCAUGGUUGGUGGGAUUCUUGGUAGGCUUGGAGUCAGGGCCCAGCCCAGGGCAGCCAAAUGAGUAGAUAUGAGAAGGAGGGAAGAGGGGACCAUGUCCACCCAACCCUAAAAUCCAGAGAAACAUUUUCAACUUGCUUGUGACUCACUCUUCCUCAGCAGAAAACUGUUUUUUCCUUCAAAAUCACAGACUUCCACCUUCAGACAAUAACGUGUUCUCAGGAAGUGACAUGUGUUGUUUUUCUGUGCAGGCUGCUGGGGGUAGUGUUUGUUUUACAAACGGUUUACUGUAAUAAGGCCUGGGAGCCAUGCUUCCCCUCAGACCAGGCUGACCUCUAAAUAAGGUGAUCAGAUUGGGCAAAUAAAAAUACAGGACACCCAGGUAAAUCA